rnacentral:snRNA from 1 species
AUAUCUUUCUUGGUCUUUUGGCUAAGAUAAAGUGUAAUAUUUGCCUUUAUCAAUUUAAUAUCUCAUAUGUGGGUCAUAUAUUCACUUUGGUAUUAAAUUUAUUUUUGUGGGUGUAACAUAU